rnacentral:rRNA from 1 species
AACGAACGCUGGCGGCAUGCCUAACACAUGCAAGUCGAACGAGACCUUCGGGUCUAGUGGCGCACGGGUGCGUAACGCGUGGGAACCUGCCCUUAGGUUCGGAAUAACUCCCCGAAAGGGGUGCUAAUACCGGAUAAUGUCUUCGGACCAAAGAUUUAUCGCCUUUGGAUGGGCCCGCGUUGGAUUAGCUAGUUGGUAGGGUAAAAGCCUACCAAGGCGACGAUCCAUAGCUGGUCUGUGAGGAUGAUAAGCCACACUGGGACUGAGACACGGCCCAGACUCCUACGGGAGGCAGCAGUGGGGAAUAUUGGACAAUGGGCGAAAGCCUGAUCCAGCAAUGCCGCGUGAGUGAUGAAGGCCUUAGGGUUGUAAAGCUCUUUUACCCGGGAUGAUAAUGACAGUACCGGGAGAAUAAGCUCCGGCUAACUCCGUG